UACAGAGGUCUCAAGCGUUUGUUCGGAUUCAUUGGGCGUAAAGGGUGCGUAGGCGGCGCGGUAAGUCGGGUGUGAAAUCUCGGAGCUUAACUCCGAAACUGCAUUCGAUACUGCCGUGCUUGAGGACUGGAGAGGAGACUGGAAUUUACGGUGUAGCAGUGAAAUGCGUAGAUAUCGUAAGGAAGACCAGUGGCGAAGGCGGGUCUCUGGACAGUUCCGUGACGUGAGGCACGAAGGCCAGGGGGAGCAAAACGGG
rnacentral:rRNA from 1 species